ACGAACGCUGGCGGCGUGCCUAAUACAUGCAAGUAGAACGCUGAAGGAGGAGCUUGCUUCUCUGGAUGAGUUGCGAACGGGUGAGUAACGCGUAGGUAACCUGCCCGGUAGCGGGGGAUAACUAUUGGAAACGAUAGCUAAUACCGCAUAAUAGUAGAUGUUGCAUGACAUUUGCUUAAAAGGUGCAAUUGCAUCACUACCAGAUGGACCUGCGUUGUAUUAGCUAGUUGGUGGGGUAACGGCUCACCAAGGCGACGAUACAUAGCCGACCUGAGAGGGUGAUCGGCCACACUGGGACUGAGACACGGCCCAGACUCCUACGGGAGGCAGCAGUAGGGAAUCUUCGGCAAUGGACGGAAGUCUGACCGAGCAACGCCGCGUGAGUGAAGAAGGUUUUCGGAUCGUAAAGCUCUGUUGUAAGAGAAGAACGAGUGUGAGAGUGGAAAGUUCACACUGUGACGGUAUCUUACCAGAAAGGGACGGCUAACUACGUG
rnacentral:rRNA from 1 species